rnacentral:rRNA from 1 species
GCAAGUCGAACGGUAACGAUGGGAGCUUGCUCCCAGGCGACGAGUGGCGGACGGGUGAGUAACGCAUAGGAAUCUGCCCAUUAGUGGGGGACAACCUGGGGAAACCCAGGCUAAUACCGCAUACGCCCUUCGGGGGAAAGGCUUCGGCCGCUAUUGGAUGAGCCUAUGUCUGAUUAGCUUGUUGGUGGGGUAAUGGCCUACCAAGGCGACGAUCAGUAGCUGGUCUGAGAGGACGAUCAGCCACACUGGGACUGAGACACGGCCCAGACUCCUACGGGAGGCAGCAGUGGGGAAUAUUGGACAAUGGGCGAAAGCCUGAUCCAGCAAUGCCGCGUGUGUGAAGAAGGCCUGCGGGUUGUAAAGCACUUUCAGUAGGGAAGAUAAUGACGGUACCUACAGAAGAAGCACCGGCUAACUCUGUGCCAGCAGCCGCGGUAAUACAGAGGGUGCAAGCGUUAAUCGGAAUUACUGGGCGUAAAGCGCGCGUAGGCGGUUUGUUAAGUCGGAUGUGAAAGCCCCGGGCUCAACCUGGGAACUGCAUUCGAUACUGGCAGGCUAGAGUAUGGUAGAGGGAAGUGGAAUUCCGGGUGUAGCGGUGAAAUGCGUAGAUAUCCGGAGGAACAUCAGUGGCGAAGGCGGCUUCCUGGACCAAUACUGACGCUGAGGUGCGAAAGCGUGGGG